GGCGGAGUGCUGCGGGCGGUGGCUGCGGGAUCCCGGCCCCACCUCGGGGCUCGCCGUGCCUGGAGGCGCCGCGCCGCUGCUCCCGCAGCCCCGAGCCCUGCAAGCCCGAACGGGAGAGAAACAAAAGCAUCCUCCGAAGGAGAUGUGACAUCUUCUUUUCUCUGUUGGUAUCUGUUAUCUUCUGAAGAAUGCAUAUCCAAAAGCGAAACCUGAACCUCUCACCUUCAGAGGUAGAAACCCACUCCUGGCCACGGGCCCCUGGACACGAACGGUGAUCCUUUUCCAUGUUAAAAAAACUUGAUGUCAGCUUCUCAGAGGCUGCUCCGAGGGCAGCCCAAGCUCUAGGUGAGGGCAGCUUGGCUCUGAGAGGAAUCCUGCACUGUUCUCUUUCACCUUCUCUGCCUCCAAGUUCACUUAGUAUCCUCCUUCUUCUUCCCACCAACACCUUUUCUCUGAUUUUGAUGCCCCUGUUAUUUUUCAUAAAUAUUUAUUUGCCCAUGGAAACCGCUUUUGCUUAACCGAGCCCUUUGUGGCAUUUUUGGCCUUCAGAAGUUCCACCUUGAAACAAUUUAUUUUUCUUUCCCCAGUGUAGCAAAACUGACUAAAACUUUAUGUAGAAUAUAACAAUCCAAAGACUCUUUGAUCAUUAGAACCAUUCUCCCACUAAUUGAUACAGAUUUAUUCAUCUCCAAUUUAUAUCCAUUCAUAUUUUGCAUUUAUGGAUAUACGUAACAGUAUUAUUUACCAGCUUAAUUCCCCCUUUUUCAUAAACUUUCUUAGUUUUGUAGAUUUUGCUUUCAAACCCAGGCCAUGCUCUUAAAAUCUUCAUGAGACCCAUUCUGCUUCUGUGAGAUUCUGCUCUAAAUUAAUCAUUCUUGAACGUGAAACAACUGGAAUUCACACACUUCUCACAGCUCUUACCACUGAGAAAUAAAGAACACAACCAACUAAACAAUUUGAUUAAUAUAAACUAGAACAUUUA